UAUAAUCUCCAAACUCAAGUCACUUUUAAAGUGUGAAGCAUUUUAUUUGCGAUCAUAUUCAGCCACACUGCUCUGUCUGCAAGGCUGUUUAAUACUAAUGGCACAUUAACAAACCACUGAGGCCAGAUCAUAACUCUCUCCUGUUAAGUGCAUUAUCAUAUUAUUUCAUUCAGUCAAAACUACAUCAUGAUAUUUUGUGGUGCAAGAAGAUUAAACUUGAAUCAAAUAUAAAAUAAAAUGCAUUUUCUGACUAGAAA